AGCUCAGAGGAAUGAAAGACACAUAGGUGAGAUAAAAAACACAUUAGAGUAAGAACUGGAGGCAAAAAGAUGUGGACUUGGAGAAGUCUGGAGCCCGCUUGUUCCCCACAGGCUCAAGAUCAUCCUUUCCCAUGCAG
rnacentral:snoRNA from 1 species